rnacentral:rRNA from 1 species
AUACGAAGGGUGCUAGCGUUGUUCGGAAUUACUGGGCGUAAAGAGCAUGUAGGCGGAUAGAUUAGUCAGAGGUGAAAGCCCCGAGCUCAACUCGGGAACUGCCUUUGAUACUGUUUAUCUAGAGACAGAGAGAGGUGAGUGGAAUUCUCAGUGUAGAGGUGAAAUUCGUAGAUAUUGGGAAGAACACCAGUGGCGAAGGCGGCUCACUGGCUCGAUACUGACGCUGAGGUACGAAAGCGUGGGGAGCAAACAGGAUUAGAAACCCCAGUAGUCC